rnacentral:rRNA from 1 species
AUACUAGGGGUGCAAGCGUUGUCCGGAAUCAUUGGGCGUAAAGGGUGCGUAGGCGUCCGAGAAAGUUAUUUGUUAAAUCCUCCGGCUUAACCGGAGACCUGCAAGUAAAACUACUUGGAUAGAGUUUAAGAGAGGAAAAUGGAAUUCCUGGUGUAGCGGUGACAUGCGUACAUAUCAGGAGGAACAUCUAUGGCGAAGGCAGUUUUCUGGCUUAAAACUGACGCUGAGGCACGAAAGCAUGGGGAGCAAACAGGAUUAGAUACCCUGGUAGUCCAUGCCGUAAACGAUGAGUACUUAGUGUCGGGGGAUUCGACCCCCUCGGUGCUGUAGCUAACGCGUUAAGUACUCCGCCUGGGGACUACGACCGCAAGGUUGAA